rnacentral:ribozyme from 1 species
AUACACAUGAAAGGAAAAAGAAGAAAAGAAAGGAAAGGAAAACAAAGAAUGAGCUCCUUUCCUUCCCGAAUCGAUCGCUUUCUUUCUACAUGUCUAUCUACGUGUCUCUCUCUCUCUCUUACGGAUCUACUUGUCUCUCUGUCUUUUAGAGGUCUACCGUCUUUCUUUCUUUCUUUCACAUGCGCAAAUUUUCUGAAGGGGAACAGGAAUAGUCCAGAGGGGCGCCAUC